UCCGUUAUGGUGUAAUGGCUAACAUUAUCGCCUCUCACGCGAUAGCUCAGGGUUCGAUUCCCUGUAACGGAG
rnacentral:tRNA from 1 species